rnacentral:tRNA from 1 species
GUCCCUGUAGCUUAUAACAAAGCAUGGCACUGAAGAUGCCAAGAUGGCUGCCACGCACACCCAAGGACA